rnacentral:rRNA from 1 species
AGAGUUUGAUCCUGGCUCAGGACGAACGCUGGCGGCACGCUUAACACAUGCAAGUCGAACGAGAGAAGAGGAGCUUGCUUUUCUGAUCUAGUGGCGGACGGGUGAGUAACACGUGAGCAAUCUGCCUUUCAGAGGGGGAUACCGAUUGGAAACGAUCGUUAAUACCGCAUAACAUAAUUGAACCGCAUGAUUUGAUUAUCAAAGAUUUAUCGCUGAAAGAUGAGCUCGCGUCUGAUUAGCUAGUUGGUAAGGUAACGGCUUACCAAGGCGACGAUCAGUAGCCGGACUGAGAGGUUGAUCGGCCACAUUGGGACUGAGACACGGCCCAGACUCCUACGGGAGGCAGCAGUGGGGAAUAUUGCACAAUGGAGGAAACUCUGAUGCAGCGAUGCCGCGUGAGGGAAGAAGGUUUUAGGAUUGUAAACCUCUGUCUUCAGGGACGAAAAAAGACGGUACCUGAGGAGGAAGCUCCGGCUAACUACGUGCCAGCAGCCGCGGUAAUACGUAGGGAGCGAGCGUUGUCCGGAAUUACUGGGUGUAAAGGGAGCGUAGGCGGGAUCGCAAGUCAGAUGUGAAAACUAUGGGCUUAACCCAUAAACUGCAUUUGAAACUGUGGUUCUUGAGUGAAGUAGAGGUAAGCGGAAUUCCUAGUGUAGCGGUGAAAUGCGUAGAUAUUAGGAGGAACAUCAGUGGCGAAGGCGGCUUACUGGGCUUUAACUGACGCUGAGGCUCGAAAGCGUGGGGAGCAAACAGGAUUAGAUACCCUGGUAGUCCACGCCGUAAACGAUGAUUACUAGGUGUGGGGGGACUGACCCCUUCCGUGCCGCAGCAAACGCAAUAAGUAAUCCACCUGGGGAGUACGACCGCAAGGUUGAAACUCAAAGGAAUUGACGGGGGCCCGCACAAGCAGUGGAGUAUGUGGAUUAAUUCGAGGCAACGCGAAGAACCUUACCAGGUCUUGACAUCGUAUGCAUAGCUCAGAGAUGAGUGAAAUCUCUUCGGAGACAUAUAGACAGGUGGUGCAUGGUUGUCGUCAGCUCGUGUCGUGAGAUGUUGGGUUAAGUCCCGCAACGAGCGCAACCCUUACUGUUAGUUGCUACGCAAGAGCACUCUAGCAGGACUGCCGUUGACAAAACCGAGGAAGGUGGGGAUGACGUCAAAUCAUCAUGCCCCUUAUGACCUGGGCCUCACACGUACUACAAUGGCUGUCAACAGAGGGAAGCAAAGCCGCGAGGUGGAGCGAACCCCUAAAAGCAGUCUUAGUUCGGAUUGUAGGCUGCAACCCGCCUACAUGAAGUCGGAAUUGCUAGUAAUCGCAGAUCAGCAUGCUGCGGUGAAUACGUUCCCGGGCCUUGUACACACCGCCCGUCACGCCAUGGGAGUCGGUAACACCCGAAACCUGUAGUCUAACCGCAAGGAGGACGCAGUCGAAGGUGGGAUUGAUGACUGGGGUGAAGUCGUAACAAGGUA